CAAUAGCGUAUAUUUAAGUUGUUGCAGUUAAGAAGCUCGUAGUUGGAUUUCGGGUGGGACGCAGCGGUCUCGCAUUGCGUUUGUACUGCUGCAGCCCUCCUUCUUGCCGGGGGCGGCCUCUCGGACUUCACUGUCUGGGGGUCAGAAUCGGCGAUGUUACUUUGAGUAAAUUAGAGUGUUCAAAGCAAGCUUACGCUCUGAAUAUAAUAGCAUGGGAUAACACGACAGGACUCUGGCCUAUCGUGUUGGUCUAUAGGACCAGAGUAAUGAUUAAGAGGGACAGUCGGGGGCAUUCGUAUUCCGUUGUCAGAGGUGAAAUUCUUGGAUUUACGGAAGACGAACAUCUGCGAAAGCAUUUGUCAAGGAUGUUUNCAUUA
rnacentral:rRNA from 1 species